UUGCUACUGACCUUAGCGGCGGACGGGUGAGUAAUGCUUAGGAAUCUGCCUAUUAGUGGGGGACAACGUUUCGAAAGGGACGCUAAUACCGCAUACGCCCUACGGGGGAAAGCAGGGGAUCUUCGGACCUUGCGCUAAUAGAUGAGCCUAAGUCGGAUUAGCUAGUUGGUAGGGUAAAGGCCUACCAAGGCGACGAUCUGUAGCGGGUUUGAGAGGAUGAUCCGCCACACUGGGACUGAGACACGGCCCAGACUCCUACGGGAGGCAGCAGUGGGGAAUAUUGGACAAUGGGCGCAAGCCUGAUCCAGCCAUGCCGCGUGUGUGAAGAAGGCCUUAUGGUUGUAAAGCACUUUAAGCGAGGAGGAGGCUUACCUAGUUAAUACCUAGGAUAAGUGGACGUUACUCGCAGAAUAAGCACCGGCUAACUCUGUGCCAGCAGCCGCGGUAAUACAGAGGGUGCAAGCGUUAAUCGGAAUUACUGGGCGUAAAGCGCGCGUAGGUGGCCAAUUAAGUCAAAUGUGAAAUCCCCGAGCUUAACUUGGGAAUUGCAUUCGAUACUGGUUGGCUAGAGUAUAGGAGAGGAAGGUAGAAUUCCAGGUGUAGCGGUGAAAUGCGUAGAGAUCUGGAGGAAUACCGAUGGCGAAGGCAGCCUUCUGGCCUAAUACUGACACUGAGGUGCGAAAGCAUGGGGAGCAAACAGGAUUAGAUACCCUGGUAGUCCAUGCCGUAAACGAUGUCUACUAGCCGUUGGGCCCUUUGA
rnacentral:rRNA from 1 species